rnacentral:tRNA from 1 species
GGGCCAUUAGCUCAAUUGGUAGAGCGUCCGACUCUUAAUCGGCAGGUUAUAGGUUCAAUUCCUAUAUGGCCCA